rnacentral:lncRNA from 1 species
UGGCCUCAAGCAAUUCUUCCUCAUCAGCCUCCCUAAGUGCUGAGAUUACAGGCAGGAGCCACCAUACCUGACCACUUCAUUCUUGUUGGUUUUGCUUCGCUGGAAAAAAUAUAAAUUCUCCCUCAAUAUGUGACUUACCACAGUCAUGAAGGAAGAUUUCACUAUAAGGCAGUUCAUAAAAAUCUGUGCAGUGUACACUAACCCAUUUUUGUGUCUGUUUCUUGAAUUAAAAAAAUAAUAUCUAUGACAUACUCAAGCAGUUAUACCACCCAAUAAAAUGUUGCCACCCUUAGUAUGGAGGACACUACUCUUUCCUGAACUGCAAAUGGAGAAGCCAGGGGAGCAGAGAGCAAUGGAGAAGGAGAACACGCUGUCCCCUCUCCACAAGGGAGGAGGAAGACUGCAGGCCCCUCGUGAUUGCACCAUUACCCAGCUCCAGACUCAACCCUCCUCUCCACCCUCCUCACAAGAGAGAUACAGGGAUGUUCUACAACCAUAAAUCUGGUCACUUCCAUCCCCUGCUUAGGCCUGGGCCAUGGUCAGUGCCCUCAGGAUAGACUGGAGUUCUCCAAGGGCCCAUAAAAAUGCCCCAGCCUUGCUGCCCACUCCAGUCUCCUCUUCCUGCCUUGCAUUCUGGCCUCUGGGUUCAGCUUUGUCGAAACAGGCACAGUUCUCAUUCAUUCUUGAAAUAGUAGCUCAAAUGUCUUCUUCUCCUAGAAGACAUCGCUGGCCUUCCAGGCUGGGUGAGGCAACCACUGUGGGCUCCCAAGCCUUUACGCGUCCCCAACCCAGCCCUGACUCUCUGAGUCAUCAAGGCCUGAGGACAAUCUGUGUUCCCAGUGAUGGCACAUGGCCCGCUAUUAUGUCUCUGCUGUGUCCUCUGCAGCACGUCGGGGUAGCAGGGACCAGCUUGCAAGCUUGAAGUGUGCAGAUGGAACACAGAGCACUCCAGCCACCCAGGCAGAUAUCAGAGGAUGGGCCCUCAGGCACUGAUUCCUGUCUGUCACCUGGGAGAGGCUCCCUGAGGCCAGGUGGAAAUCAUACCCGGAUGCCACCAGAAUGAUGAUUCAGCCCUUUCCGUGCUUGUUCCAGAGGGGAAGCCCAUGAAAGGAGGACAGCCAGUGCUCUCCUGUGUGCCACGUUCCAGAAGCUCAGUCUCACUCUGUCGCGCAGGCUGGAGUGCAGUGGCACGAUC